AGUCCAUGAGUCCUGGACUCAUCAAAAUCUGUCUGGCUUCACCAUUUUCAAAACUGGUGAGUCCACAGAUGCAUCAAGAUUGAAAUAUUUUGUAUAAACUGAACACAGUUAAACACAAAUAUCAUCAUUUUAUAGCAAAAGUUUAAAAGUGAUCUGAAUUUAAUGUCAUUUCAUUGCUGUGUUAGCAUGAAUAGGAAAUGGAGACUAAAAUAUUACAUUAUAUUGCAAUAAAAUAUUUUCUUCUUUCUGUUGGACUCAUCAUGGCUAAAAAUGACGAGUCCCUGGACUUGCUUCAAAAAUCCUUAGCGAGAAC
rnacentral:lncRNA from 1 species